rnacentral:rRNA from 1 species
UGUUAUACCACCCUGAGCACACCUGAUCUCAUCUGAUCUUGAAAGCUAAGCAGGGUUUGCCAUGGUUAGUACUUGAAUGGGAGACAUAAUUUCAAAGUAACAG